rnacentral:rRNA from 1 species
GACCUCAGAUCAGGCAAGACUACCCGCUG